UGAAGAAGGAUGUAUUUGCUUCCCCUUCUGCCAUGUUUGUAAGUUUCCUGAGGCCUCCCCAGCCCUUCAGAACUGGACUUUCACAGUGUCAGGUUAGUUACCUAAAUCUUAGGUAACUUUAGGUUAGUUACCUAAAGUCACUCUGUGACUUCAUCCUGAUAUAAAGGAACAAGGAAGAGAGUCGGAUUAGGCUAACUCACUAUGGUGGGGUAACACAUAGAAAAGGCACGGAGAAGUUAAGUGAUUUGCCUGUGGUCACAAAGCCUGUUAGCAGCAAACCCAGAACAAGAACCUAAGAUUUAUGACCGCCAGUUCCAGCUGUUUUUCUUCGUCAUGUAUCCUCAGCAAUCAACAUAAUCAAAAUCUGUUUGGAGGCUACUGAUUUGUAUAAAGGAAGAUAACACCGAACAACCAAACAGGAAGUAAUCCAGCGAAUCUGGAACAGCGGUGGAAUUUAGAAGCAAGGCCAGGUGAGGACCCUAAGACCUAGAGAAACUAAGUCAUUUGCUCAAGAAGACAAAGGUAAUCAUCAGAAAUCAACAUGAGAUUUCAGCUCUCCUGAUCCUUAGUACAACAUGUGAAAGAAGAUAUGUUGUCUUUACUCACAGUGGAGGCAUUUUUCUAGCUGUGUUUGAUUUGGCUUCCCUAUAGAUUCAGGACCCAUAACUCUUGUUCUCACUCAUCUGCUAUGCUGCUGAUAAGGACUUUCAGGUCAACAGCUGUAACUGCUAAAUGAAGUUAAUACUCUGGAAAAAAAAAAAAAAAAAAACAUCGUCUGGUCCAGUUCAGCACAGAGCUAGCUGCAAGUGACAACCUAAGAGAAAAGUCAGCGAGAACAAAGAUCCAUCUCUUCGUUGACUGCCUUAAUCCCUAGAGCUGUGUUCUUCAAUUUGUUACUAUUUGCUACAAUUUUUCUGCCUAACAAGCAAGUUCUAUCCUGCCUAGGAGAGAAACUUUUAGUAAAUUCAUCUUCAUUCACUACUAUUCAGCUCAUGCUGUAAAAACUUAGAUAAUGCUGUCUGAAAUACUUAACUCCUGGUCAAAUGCAGCUGCUAUUUCAUUCA
rnacentral:lncRNA from 1 species